GUAUCCAGAUACUGCAGAGUAUGGUGAGAGAUGCCAAAAGCAACUGCAAUUCAGAAUUAUCACGAUCUCACAUAAGGCUACGUGAAAAAGACCAACAGCGGGCAAACAAAGCCAAGUGCUUCCUGAGCUCUGCCAAGAAUUAAACACAGAGCUCCAUCAGCAGGAGGGCUUCCUUUGGUAACAAAA